UGAUUAGAAAUACAGGCACAAAGAUACAUCACUCAACAGAAAACAGCUCACUUUAAAGUCAGUCACUUUACAAGCAAAAAGCUUUUGGUUUCAGCUUCUCAAAUGUGAGGAUUUUUUAAAAUGUUUAUUACCUACAACAGUUGACUGAAUAUCAUUGAGUCUAGGAUUUGUGAUUAAAACAAGCUAAUAAAAGACAUUACAGUGGGUAAAAAAGUGGGAGGUAAGAGCAAAAGGUAAAAACAUUCACAUUCUCUAUUAGAGGUAUAACUUUGCCAGCUUCAAUUUUAAUUACAUAAUUGCAUAAAAAUUUUAAUUUCACCUAAGCGACACACUUCCUGCAGCCUGCUCCAUGGGUUGAUGGACUAAGCUAAAGGCUAACAUGAUUAAAUUCAAAAUACUGCUGUUAUAUUCAAAAUAAAUCAUUUUCCUGGAGAACCUAAAUAAAGACAAGUCGUUAAAAUGAUCAAAAAUAAUCGAAAUCGACUAAUGUGACACAUUGGUGAGCUAUAUCACUCAAUUCAGUUACAAGAUAUAGCGCUUGACAUCUCUACAAAUCCAGUAGGAUUACAUUAAGAGAACAUGGUGGAGGAAUUAGGAGUUUUAGAUAAACUAAAUGAGCACAAAUUAAAAUACAAGCGUCCUAGAAGCUUUUCAAGGUCACGCUGAGCCAAAAGUAGUACAUGGUCUCACUUGAUGAUUUUAUAAGCGACUACCCAGAACCUGAAAGUGCACAUUGCUAAGUUAAAGAACUUUCUAGAACUUGUUGGACGACAUUUUACUUCCCAGGAAGAAGUCAAGCAACUACUAAGUAAACACUUAAUUCUGCCGCAACAUAGUGCAUGUUUGCAACUGCACAUAUUUUCAAAUGUUCACUUCCUUUAACCCAGAAAAAGAAUAUAACGGUAGAAGCACCAGUUGCUGCAACAAGACACUUCCUUGUUCUAACACUGAAACAAGAGCCAGAUUAAGCUUAAGUCCUGACUGAGCUGCUAAAAAUAAUGGAACCGCCUGAUCGCUUACGCAUGGCUCAUUAACUUAGACGGCAACGUUAGCAAAAAAAAUAGCCCAAAGUUCCAUUAAAAUCGAUUAGCCACAGGCUUGUUUGCUGUUCGGAGCCAUGUUGCAACCGGGUGGUUGUUUGCGUAGUCAAAGUUCACCAAGAAGUUGGGCCUUGACUCCUGUCUGCUCCACACCGCACUCAAGUUAGCAGAGGCUCGUGUUAGCUUUAACAUAAGCGCUAACGCUCACUUCUGAGCAUUUAGACCGUGUCCCUGGUCCCAGAGCUGGAUGCUUCAGAUCUGCAGUCGAUGUUCCACCAGCUGGUCCAGUCUCCAUCAUGUCCACUGUGGGAUGCUGCUGCUGACCUUCCUCCAGCCCUCUGCUUCCAACUCCCCUUUUCCACCAGUCAACUCUGCAUUGCCUUCACUAUACUGUUAUGCUAACUUACAUACUGUUUGAAUUUUACUGCUAGUUAUAUAUGGAGUAUGUUUAAUGUCAGAGCCGUACAUCAUAAGAGUAAACUAUGAGUCAGUUUUCAAUGUUAGCUUAUACUUUGCUUGUGUCACAUAUCCUGUCAUACAUGUAUCCAAAUGUGUGUUGUGUUUUCCUUGCUUUCCCACCCCUCCCACUUCUCCCAUCCCUCCCCCUUGCCUCCUCUGUCCUUCUCAACCCGCCCGGCCAGCAGGCAGAUGGGUCCCCCCUAUAUAGAGCCGGGUUCUGCUCGAGGUUUCUUCCCUGUUAAAAGGGUGUUUUUCCUUGCCACUGUCGCCUUUGGGCUUGCUCUGGGGGUCAGGCAUAUGGGUUCUGUAAAGCGUCUUGAGACGAUUUGACUGUAAUUGACGCUAUAUAAAUAAAAUUGAAUUGAAUUGAA